rnacentral:rRNA from 1 species
UACGUAGGGUGCAAGCGUUAAUCGGAAUUACUGGGCGUAAAGCGUGCGCAGGCGGUUAUGCAAGACAGAUGUGAAAAUCCCCGGGCUCAACCUGGGAACUGCAUUUGUGACUGCAUGGCUAGAGUGCGGCAGAGGGGGAUGGAAUUCCGCGUGUAGCAGUGAAAUGCGUAGAUAUCAGGAAGAACACCCGUGGCGAAGGCGGCUCUCUGGGACGGUACUGGACGCUGAGACGCGAAAGCGUGGGGAGCGAACAGG